AAAUACUAAGUAUGUGAAGCUCAAGUUGAUAAUUAUCUAGGUUCCUAAGUUUUGAAAAUAAAAUGGAAUUAUAAGGAUGAAACUUAGAUUUUUAGGUUAAAAUUGUGGUUUGGAGUUGGAUUGGAAAAGGACCACAUGGGAUCCCCACACCCUCAAUCCUCUCCCUAUUUUCUGCAUACUGUCUCUCUCGUCUCCUACCCUCACGAAUCUCCUCUCUCUCUCUGUCACUCUUCUUCUCCGUUCGACAAACCAACCACAAAACAACCUUAAACUUCCACCAACGACGGAGUUAAGACCACCAUCAAACUCUUGGAACCUCCACGAUCACGAUGGUUAUCCAUUUCAGGUAAGUUUGCUUCGGAAAACCCUAGUUUUCAAAUUACCCGUGAAAUGGCACUGUUCAUAAACUCUUAAAUGGUGGUGUUUAGCUUAAAAACAAGAUCACAGUGAGCUUUAGGAUGUCCCAAGGAAGCUCGGAGUGCUUCGUUGGAAAGUUUUCGGACGUAAGAACACGGAGAUCGACAAGUUUCAAAGUUUGGCCGGAGCUUUCGAGGCGUUUUCCGGCGAAUCCCCGGCGAUUUAGGAGCGAGGUAGGUAUUAAUCUCUUCGUCUCAUCAAGUAACUACAACUUUCCUUUUUUGUUUCACUCAAUUUCGUUGAGUAUUGAAGAAGUUAUACUCAUUUGAAAAAUACCCAGUUUCCGGCGACCUCCGAGGCUUUCGAGGCAGUUUCCGGCCAAACCACGGCGAACUAGGUAUUGUGCAAGGUACCAUUCCUUUGUCUCUUCAAGGGCUACAACUGUUCGUUUUUGAAUCACUUGAUUCGUUGAGAAAUGACAAAGUUAUGGCAAUUUUGAAAAACUGCCCAGAAAACGGCCGCCGGAAAAACCAGUCCGGCGACCCAAGGAAGAAGAAGGUGCUACAGUAAAAAAAAAAUAAAAAUAAAAUUAUUUUAAAAAUAUGUCGACGUCCGUGACGUCGAGUAGAUCACUGUGGUAUAUUCAUAUACCUAAAUUGAAACACCGUAUGAGAAAGUUAUUGAAGAUUGUUGGUUAGGUGUUCAAAUAACGUUUUAUAGUUUUCACAUUUAGGUGAAAAUGUGAAUUGAUGAUCCGACCGUUGGAUCAUCACCAAAAUUUGAUACGUUAUAGUACGUAAUAUUUGAGGAUUAUUGGAACUUACGGAUUGGUAAUCCGAGUUACGGAUCUUCCGGAAUUGGAAUUGUAAGUCCAUAAUAUAAAAAUGUUAAACCGUCACUUAGUUUUGGAAAUUGACGGAGAUCCGACCGUUGGAUGGUAAUGAAAUUUUAGGAUGUUAUCCUAGAGAUAUAUUGUGGACCUCUGGAAGUUAUGGAUUUAAAAUCUGAGUGGCAGAUCUUCCGGAUCGAUCAACAUAGUGACGUAUUUAUAUAAGUUAUAUUCUAUCGAUAUGAAUUCUGAGGUUGGAAUUAAUUAUUGUUUUAGGCGCCGAUCGUCAUGACGCCUUGAUGUGUGGUGCUAGGGAGUUGUAGGGCGAACUCCAGGUGAGUGGGCAGUUUUGUUUUCCGUAUAUAUAUAUACUUGACGUUUCCCAGAAAUUGAAUUGAAAUGAAAAUAUGUUUUAAAAUGAAAUGCAUAUAUGAGUUAUGUGGAAAAACGGGAAGUGAAAUACCAUGCAUAGAAUUGAUAUGAAAAGUAUAUAGAAAUGUGAGUUGAAAUGCCAUGCAUGAAUUAAUAUAUGAUGCAUAUGUAUGAAUUGGUGCGGUGGACGCACAAGUAAGAAUUGAUUUAUGAUGCAUAUGUAUGAAUUGGUGCGGUGGACGCACAUGUAAGAAUUGAUUUAUGAUGCAUAUGUAUGAAAUGGUGCGGUGGACGCACAGAUGAGUAUUUAAUUACUGUUAUGAUGAUGAUGAUAUAUAUUGAGCUCAAAUCCUGCACCAUGGUUUAGUGCUUAUAGUAUUCACCGCAUCGCACGCUCGCCUUGGAUCCAAGUAGAUGCUAGUCGUACAGUCCACGCGGAGUGGGUACGACAGACCAGUCGCGAGAGUGUUAGUGAGAUUCCGACUGGUGGGUGACCUUAGAUUAUGUGCACAGAUGAUUUAUGAGAAGCACUAGAGCGUAACUUGUGUGCAGAAGGCCGGACGGGUCACAGAGGUGACUCCGGUAGAGUGAUAAUGAUAGAUUUUGAGCUCUAGGUUCAACCGUAUAGGGCUAUUAGAGGGCCUACGGUUGAUUACUUUCUUGCACCUGAUAUGAUUAUGUUGAUGCAUUCAUACCUUAUUACUGUUGAGAUGAUGUGGCAUGGCAAUAAUUAAUAUGAGAAAUGUUGAGAUGACAUGGCAUGGCAUGAUUGAUAAAGAGAUAAUGUUGAGAUAGUAAAAAUGAAGUUUUUGAGAAUAUAUAUGUAUAUUUAUAUUUUACAUUUCUGGGAAAGUAUAUACAGGUUUUACGGAGAGGGGUUACAACGUUUUGAGAAAUGUUUGGAUUUGGAAAAGAAUUGUUUUACUGACCCACUCAAUUUUGGUUUUGCGCCCCUCCAGGUUCAGGAAUCACAAAGGUGUGGUGACUACGAGGAAUUCGACGGUGUUCUGACAGAUUGGACAAAAUUAGGACUCACCUUCGGGUGUAUCAACUUAUAAAUUGUAUAAUUAAAGCUUCCGUACUGUGCAAAUGGUUACGUCACUCUCACGUGACGGCCAGCAUGCCCUCCUUCGGGACCGGGUGUGUCAGUUGGUAUCAGAGCAUGGUUGCAAUCUUGGACAUCUUGAGAAGUUUCUAGUGAAUUCUGUCAGAACUACACCGCCUCGUAGCAAACCACGUAGUUAGAGGAACUUAGUCUCCUUGAUUUAGCGGGUUAGGGGAAACUAUUCUUAUGGUGAUUCAGUAUAUUAGAAAAAUGGACAUUUUAAGACGGGUUAUGAGUUGAAUUUGAAUCACUUAAGAGAAAUGAUGAACCUGAGGGAACAAAGUGACGGAUUAACCAAUUGGAAAAGAUGUUUCGGAAUAUGCAAGUCAAAGGAAUCUUCCUUCUGACAAGGGGUCGAGACGACUACCUGGUUUUGGUUAUGAAUUUGUAUCCUGGUGGAAACAGGAGUAUGAAUUGUUGUCACCAGAGGAAUCAGUCGAUUGAGAAUUGUUUAAGGACUUGUUUAAAGGAAAAGUUUAUCCCUCCGGCAUUUAUCGAUGGUAGUAAACAAGAGUUUACAAAUAUGAGACAAGGAAGGUGAUGAUCGAGGGAUAUUAUAGAAAGUUUUCAGACUAGCCUCGUUCCAUCCAGAUAUUGUUGUUAAUUUGGUGGAGGUGUUAUGUUGUUUUAAGCUGGGUGACAAAAGGGAAGUGGUAUUUUGGGUGACCACUAUCCAUUGUAGUUCUUAUCAGGAGUAUGCUAGAUGUUGUUGAAUCUUGAGGACUCUGAGAACAUGAGCAACGAGAAUAAAGAAGAAUAAGAAAUGAAUGGGAAUUAAAAGAAGACGAUAAAGUUAAUGAUUCGUCAUAUCAAGGAUAUAGAAAGAUUCAGAGCUUCGAAAGAAGUGAAGCUAGAGUUAAUUCUUCCAGCUGAGGUUUAAUGUCGCUGGUCAGAAUAAAAGUGAUGGAUAUACUGGUAAUCCCAGAUAUUUGAGACAAGGUGUCUCGAGUAAAGGAAAUGUACCUUGUGCAGCAGGUACAAAAUUAACACUUUGGGAAAUGUGAAAUUAAUGAAUGUGUUUAUGUGAACAGAAGGGACACAGAGUUGUGAAUCGUCCCUAGAAUCAGUUGUACUCAACAAUUUUCCAUGAAAUCAUAGUGUCGAUUCAGCAGAGUUAUGGAUUUAGUAGUUUGGUCGGAUUGACCGUGAGUACAGAGAUAUUUGAUGAGUUAUAUGUUCAGCCGUACGGACCAUGAGAAAUGGAUUUGACUGACACAUGAGAAAUUGGUGAGUUAUAGGCUCGGCCGUGCCGACCACGCGGAGUGGAUCUGGCCGACGUAUUAUUGAGAUAAGAGUUGAAUCAACCGUAUUGGUUAUUCUAGUUGACUUCGGCUGAUAUAUUUCUUAUUAUGUAUGUUAUUACCUAGAGAGUAGUAAAUAAAUGUAGUUGAGACGAGUGUAUGUAUUUUGCAUUGAGUGACAAAAUAGUAAUGUUAUAUCUUUGUGAGUGGUUGCCUACUUAUCGAGACAACGAUGAUUUAUCAGUAUUGCGGGCUGCAGACCGUAAUAUUAAUAACUCAUUCGUGGAUUCGUUAAGCAAGCAAACCGGUAGAUUAUUUUAUGUUAGUAUUGUACUUAUUUGGAAUGCUUAAUAAUAAUAGAAUAUAUAUUGUAUCAGUUAAUUCUGUUCCAUUAGAUUGGUUGGUUAUAAUUGUGACAAGACGAAAUGUUAUGGGAAACCAGUACUUUCCAUCGAUCUGGAUGAACAGAGAUUACUUUUGUAAGUAUGCAAAAUGGAUUGAGUCAGGCUGUUAUUUAUGCUGUGAGAGCAAAGAGAUUGUUUUCGAAAGGCUGUCAAAAAUACUUAGCUCAUGUGGUGCUAAAUGAUGUUGUUUGGAGUAGUGUGAAUAAUGUCAAAAGAGUUCUUGCGGGCCCUGAGACUAUGGAUGAGUCUCCUCAAAGUAUUCAGGUGAUUAAGUUAACCUGAAGUAACCAGGAAUGGCAAAAGAGAUAAUGGCAAAAGAGAUAAUGGCAAAAGAGACUAACAGAUGGAUAUGCCACUAAUCGAGUGUGUAAGGGAAAUGGUUUGAUAUUUUUGGAAAUUUCACCACGAACAGAAAUGGCGAGAAUUGGAAAGGAGACAAGAUAAGAUUUAGACACAUCAGACCAUUUUUUAUCACUAAAGGAAUCAAUAAAGUUGCAUACAAGUGGUGAUGUCUUCAGAGUUGGCUAAGGUACUUAAUGUAUUUUGGGUUCGAUGCGUUGUCACUAGGUGGCAGAGUCGUUACAUGGGACCUUGGUGCAACUAUUGAGAAUUAAGCCGGAUCUGAUUGGUGAGGAACUAAUGUCGACUUUGGAUUGGAAAAAGAAGGUCCUAAGAAUUAAGACAGAGUAAGUAGUAAAAGCUUUGUGAAGGAAAUCAUUCAGUAGAAAAUUGUGUGGGAGAAAGAGAAUCGGAUGAGAGAGAUUUAUCCGAGGCUAUUGUAUGAGUAUAGAUGAUUUAGUUGGUUGCUGGAAUUUCGGGGACGAAAUUCUAUAAGGAGGGAAGAUUGUCACAGCCCGUUCCAAAAUAUUACAUUCGUGGCUGUGAAUGGACGAAAUUGCCCUUAUGAAAUACUAAGUAUGUGAAGCUCAAGUUGAUAAUUAUCUAGGUUCCUAAGUUUUGAAAAUAAAAUGGAAUUUAAUAAGGAUGAAACUUAGAUUUUUUAGGUUAAAAUUGUGUGGUUUGGAGUUGGGGAUUGGAAAAGGACCACAUGGGAUCCCCACACCCCUCAAUCCUCUCCCUAUUUUCUGCAUACUGUCUCUCUCUCUCCUCCCUCACGAAUCUCUCUCUCUCUCUGUCACUCUUCUUCUCCGUUCGAACAAACCAACCACAAAACAACCUUAAACUUCCACCAACGACGGAGUUAAGACCACCAUCAAACUCUUGGAACCUCCACGAUCACGAUGGUAUCCAUUUCAGGUAAGUUUUGCUUCGGAAAACCCUAGUUUUCAAAGUACCCGUGAAAUGGCACUGUUCAUAAACUCUUAAAUGGUGGUGUUUUAGCUUAAAACAAGAUCACAGUGAGCUUUAGGAUGUCCCAAGGAAGCUCGGAGUGCUUCGUUGGAAGUUUUCGGACGUAAGAACACGGAGAUCGACAAGUUCAAAGUUUGGCCGGAGCUUUCGAGGCGUUUUCCGGCGAAUCCCCGGCGAUUUAGGAGUCGAGGUAGGUAUUAAUCUCUUCGUCUCAUCAAGUACUACAACUUUCCUUUUUGUUUCACUCAAUUUCGUUGAGUAUUGAAGAAGUUAUACUCAUUUGAAAAAUACCCAGUUUCCGGCGACCUCCGAGGCUUUCGAGGCAGUUUCCGGCCAAACCACGGCGAACUAGGUAUUGUGCAAGGUACCAUUCUCUUUGUCUCUUCAAGGGCUACAACUUUCGUUUUUGAAUCACUUGAUUUCGUUGAGAAAUGACAAAGUUAUGGCAAUUUGAAAAACUGCCCAGAAAACGGCCGCCGGAAAAACCAGUCCGGCGACCCAAGGAAGAAGAAGGUGCUACAGUAAAAAAAAAUAAAAAUAAAAUUAUUUUAAAAAUAUGUCGACGUCCGUGACGUCGAGUAGAUCACUGUGGUAUAUUCAUAUACCUAAAUUGAACACCGUAUGAGAAAGUUAUUGAAGAUUGUUGGUUAGGUGUUCAAAUAACGUUUUAUAGUUUUCACAUUUAG
rnacentral:lncRNA from 1 species